UGAUGUGAAAGCCCACGGCUCAACCGUGGAGGGUCAUUGGAAACUGGAAAACUUGAGUGCAGAAGAGGAAAGUGGAAUUCCAUGUGUAGCGGUGAAAUGCGCAGAGAUAUGGAGGAACACCAGUGGCGAAGGCGACUUUCUGGUCUGUAACUGACGCUGAUGUGCGAAAGCGUGGGGAUCAAACAGGAUUAGAUACCCUGGUAGUCCACGCCGUAAACGAUGAGUGCUAAGUGUUAGGGGGUUUCCGCCCUUAGUGCUGCAGCUAACGCAUUAAGCACUCCGCCUGGGGAGUACGACCGCAAGGUUGAAACUCAAAGGAAUUGACGGGGACCCGCACAAGCGGUGGAGCAUGUGGUUUAAUUCGAAGCAACGCGAAGAACCUUACCAAAUCUUGACAUCCUUUGACAACUCUAGAGAUAGAGCCUUCCCCUUCGGGGGACAAAGUGACAGGUGGUGCAUGGUUGUCGUCAGCUCGUGUCGUGAGAUGUUGGGUUAAGUCCCGCAACGAGCGCAACCCUUAAGCUUAGUUGCCAUCAUUAAGUUGGGCACUCUAAGUUGACUGCCGGUGACAAACCGGAGGAAGGUGGGGAUGACGUCAAAUCAUCAUGCCCCUUAUGAUUUGGGCUACACACGUGCUACAAUGGACAAUACAAAGGGCAGCGAAACCGCGAGGUCAAGCAAAUCCCAUAAAGUUGUUCUCAGUUCGGAUUGUAGUCUGCAACUCGACUACAUGAAGCUGGAAUCGCUAGUAAUCGUAGAUCAGCAUGCUACGGUGAAUACGUUCCCGGGUCUUGUACACACCGCCCGUCACACCACGAGAGUUUGUAACACCCGAAGCCGGUGGAGUAACCUUUUAGGAGCUAGCCGUCGAAGGUGGGACAAAUGAUUGGGGUGAAGUCGUAACAAGGUAGCCGUAUCGGAAGGUGCGGCUGGAUCACCUCCUUUCUAAGGAUAUAUUCGGAACAUCUUCUUCAGAAGAUGCGGAAUAAUGUGACAUAUUGUAUUCAGUUUUGAAUGUUUAUUUAACAUUCAAAUAUUUUUUGGUUAAAGUGAUAUUGCUUAUGCGAGCGCUUGACUAAAAAGAAAUUGUACAUUGAAAACUAGAUAAGUAAGUAAAAUAUAGAUUUUACCAAGCAAAACCGAGUGAAUAAAGAGUUUUAAAUAAGCUUGAAUUCAUAAGAAAUAAUCGCUAGUGUUCGAAAGAACACUCACAAGAUUAAUAACGCGUUUCCUGUAGGAUGGAAACAUAGAUUAAGUUAUUAAGGGCGCACGGUGGAUGCCUUGGCACUAGAAGCCGAUGAAGGACGUUACUAACGACGAUAUGCUUUGGGGAGCUGUAAGUAAGCUUUGAUCCAGAGAUUUCCGAAUGGGGAAACCCAGCAUGAGUUAUGUCAUGUUAUCGAUAUGUGAAUACAUAGCAUAUCAGAAGGCACACCCGGAGAACUGAAACAUCUUAGUACCCGGAGGAAGAGAAAGAAAAUUCGAUUCCCUUAGUAGCGGCGAGCGAAACGGGAAGAGCCCAAACCAACAAGCUUGCUUGUUGGGGUUGUAGGACACUCUAUAC
rnacentral:rRNA from 1 species